CGCUGGCGGCAUGCCUUACACAUGCAAGUCGAACGCGAAAGUGGGGGCAACCCUGCGAGUAGAGUGGCGAACGGGUGAGUAACACAUCGGAACGUACCCAGGAGUGGGGGACAACCUCGAGAAAUCGAGGCUAAUACCGCAUACGUCCUGAGGGAGAAAGCGGGGGAUUCGCAAGGACCUCGCGCUCAUGGAGCGGCCGAUGUCGGAUUAGCUAGUUGGCGGGGUAAGAGCUCACCAAGGCUACGAUCCGUAGCUGGUUUGAGAGAACGACCAGCCACACUGGGACUGAGACACGGCCCAGACUCCUACGGGAGGCAGCAGUGGGGAAUUUUGGACAAUGGGGGCAACCCUGAUCCAGCCAUGCCGCGUGAGUGAAGAAGGCCUUCGGGUUGUAAAGCUCUUUCGGCCGGAACGAAAUCGCGUACGCGAAUAACGUGCGUGGAUGACGGUACUGGAAGAAGAAGCACCGGCUAACUACGUGCCAGCAGCCGCGGUAAUACGUAGGGUGCGAGCGUUAAUCGGAAUUACUGGGCGUAAAGCGUGCGCAGGCGGUUCUGCAAGUCAGAUGUGAAAUCCCCGGGCUUAACCUGGGAACUGCGUUUGAAACUACGGAGCUAGAGUGCGGCAGAGGGGGGUGGAAUUCCACGUGUAGCAGUGAAAUGCGUAGAUAUGUGGAGGAACACCGAUGGCGAAGGCAGCCCCCUGGGCCGACACUGACGCUCAGGCACGAAAGCGUGGGGA
rnacentral:rRNA from 1 species